rnacentral:misc_RNA from 1 species
UGGUGUUUAUGCUGUUGCUAAGGUGAGGCCACUAUCCUGUUUUAAUAUCUUUGUUGGUCCUGAGAAUACUCAUACAUAAUGACAUUGUAAAGUGCAUGAUGUUUUAGUUUAUAAUUGAAAAUGCUAGACUUUCAAUGAUGCAAUGGAGGGGAGUGAUGACAGAGUGAUGGUAGACCAAGUUAAAUGUCUGAGACCUUUUGUGAUUCUGUGGAGGAAAAUAAAAUCUUUGAUGCUGGAGGCUGUUUGAAGAUAUCAAUCAGGGAAAAAAAAUCCCUAUUGAACAUGAUUUUACUGUUUUGAAAAUAUAAUAUUAGCACAUAAUUGAUUGAAGUAUGAGACUGGUGCAAGUGGCUGUGUUGUGAAUAUUGGAGUCACAUAGCCUGCCAUUGUGAUAUAAUGAUUUGCUUUCUCUGUCUCCAUAAAUAUAUAUUGGAGAGAAAUGCAGUUCCUGGAUGUUGGGUGUUAGUUCAUGUUGGAAGCUAUUUCCAUUAUAAUAUAUAGGAUGGCAUUUGCAUCAGUUGACAAUUUUUUAUCUGUUGGACUCUUUUUGAUACUAUCAUCCUCGCUUUUUUGGUUGAAAAUUUGUCUUAUGUUCUACUUGCAGGCAGAUUGCUUGGAUGAUUUAGCCUGGGCAAUUAUGUAUGAGACAACCAAGUUAAGUUAUCGAGUUUCUGAAGCUGAUGUCAC